rnacentral:rRNA from 1 species
CACGUAGGGCGCGAGCGUUGUCCGGAAUUAUUGGGCGUAAAGAGCUCGUAGGCGGCCUGUUGCGUCCGCUGUGAAAGCCCGGGGCUUAACCCCGGGUCUGCAGUGGAUACGGGCAGGCUAGAGGUAGGUAGGGGAGAAUGGAAUUCCCGGUGUAGCGGUGAAAUGCGCAGAUAUCGGGAAGAACACCCGUGGCGAAGGCGGCACUCUGGGACGGUACUGACGCUGAGACGCGAAAGCGUGGGGAGCGAACAGG